UACAGAGGUCUCAACCGUUGUUCGGAUUCAUUGGGCGUAAAGGGUGCGUAGGCGGCGGGGCAGGUCAGGUGUGAAAUCUCGGGGCUCAACCCCGAAACUGCACCUGAUACUGCCUUGCUCGAGUACUGGAGAGGAGACUGGAAUUUACGGUGUAGCAGUGAAAUGCGUAGAUAUCGUAAGGAAGACCAGUGGCGAAGGCGAGUCUCUGGACAGUUACUGACGCUGAGGCACGAAGGCCAGGGGAGCAAACGGG
rnacentral:rRNA from 1 species